UGAGCUUGAUCCUGGCUCAGGAUGAACGCCGGCGGCGUGCUUAACACAUGCAAGUCGAACGAUGAUCCCAGCUUGCUGGGGAUUAGUGGCGAACGGGUGAGUAACACGUGAGUAACCUGCCCUUAACUCUGGGAUAAGCCUGGGAAACUGGGUCUAAUACCGGAUAUGACUCCUCAUCGCAUGGUGGGGGGUGGAAAGCUUUAUUGUGGUUUUGGAUGGACUCGCGGCCUAUCAGCUUGUUGGUGAGGUAAUGGCUCACCAAGGCGACGACGGGUAGCCGGCCUGAGAGGGUGACCGGCCACACUGGGACUGAGACACGGCCCAGACUCCUACGGGAGGCAGCAGUGGGGAAUAUUGCACAAUGGGCGAAAGCCUGAUGCAGCGACGCCGCGUGAGGGAUGACGGCCUUUCGGGUUGUAAACCUCUUUCAGUAGGGAAGAAGCGAAAGUGACGGUACCUG
rnacentral:rRNA from 1 species